rnacentral:rRNA from 1 species
UACGUAGGGGGCGAGCGUUGUCCGGAAUCAUUGGGCGUAAAGAGCGUGUAGGCGGCUUGGCAAGUCUGACGUGAAAGCCCGCGGCUCAACCGCGGAUUGUCGUUGGAAACUGCCUCGCUAGAGUCCGGAAGAGGAGAGCGGAAUUCCUGGUGUAGCGGUGGAAUGCGCAGAUAUCAGGAAGAACACCCGUGGCGAAGGCGGCUCUCUGGGACGGUACUGACGCUGAGACGCGAAAGCGUGGGGAGCGAACAGGAUUAGAUACCCUGGUAGUCCACGCCGUAAACGAUGGGCGCUAGGUGUGGGAGGUGUCGAUUCCUCCCGUGCCGAAGCUAACGCAUUAAGCGCCCCGCCUGGGGAGUACGGCCGCAAGGCUAAA